rnacentral:rRNA from 1 species
GAUGAACGCUGGCGGCGUGCCUAAUACAUGCAAGUCGAGCGAACAGAUGAGGAGCUUGCUCCUCUGACGUUAGCGGCGGACGGGUGAGUAACACGUGGAUAACCUACCUAUAAGACUGGGAUAACUUCGGGAAACCGGAGCUAAUACCGGAUAAUAUAUUCAACCGCAUGGUUCAAUAGUGAAUGACGGUUUUGCUGUCACUUAUAGAUGGAUCCGCGCCGGAUUAGCUAGUUGGUAAGGUAACGGCUUACCAAGGCAACGGUGCGUAGCCGACCUGAGAGGGUGAUCGGCCACACUGGAACUGAGACACGGUCCAGACUCCUACGGGAGGCAGCAGUAGGGAAUCUUCGGCAAUGGGCGAAAGCCUGACGGAGCAACGCCGCGUGAGUGAUGAAGGUCUUCGGAUCGUAAAGCUCUGUUAUUAGGGAAGAACAAAUGUGUAAGAAACUAUGCACGUCUUGACGGUACCUAAUCAGAAAGCCACGGCUAACUACGUG